AAGUCGAGGGGCAGCAUGGUCUUAGCUUGCUAAGACUGAUGGCGACCGGCGCACGGGUGCGUAACGCGUAUGCAACUUGCCUCACAGAGGGGGAUAACCCGUCGAAAGACGGACUAAUACCGCGUACACUCCAGCUUGGGGCAUCCAAGCUAGAGGAAAUGAAAAUUCGCUGUGAGAUAGGCAUGCGUCCCAUUAGCUAGUUGGUGAGGUAACGGCUCACCAAGGCGACGAUGGGUAGGGGAACUGAGAGGUUGAACCCCCACACUGGUACUGAGACACGGACCAGACUCCUACGGGAGGCAGCAGUGAGGAAUAUUGGUCAAUGGGCGAGAGCCUGAACCAGCCAAGUCGCGUGAAGGAUGACUGUCUUAUGGAUUGUAAACUUCUUUUAUACGGGAAUAACAAGAGUCGCGUGUGGCUCCCUGCAUGUACCGUAUGAAUAAGCAUCGGCUAACUCCGUG
rnacentral:rRNA from 1 species